GGAUUAGAUACCCUGGUAGUCCACACCGUAAACGCUGUCUACUAGCUGUUUGUGUAUUCUAUACGUGAGUAGCGAAGCUAACGCGCUAAGUAGACCGCCUGGGGAGUACGGCCGCAAGGUUAAAACUCAAAUGAAUUGACGGGGGCCCGCACAAGCGGUGGAGCAUGUGGUUUAAUUCGAUGCAACGCGAAGAACCUUACCUACUCUUGACAUACUUGGAAUUUUUCAGAGAUGAAUUAGUGCCUUCGGGAACCAAGAUACAGGUGCUGCAUGGCUGUCGUCAGCUCGUGCUG
rnacentral:rRNA from 1 species